ensembl:lncRNA
UUCAAAGUACUUAAUUACCUUGAUAUCUUUAAUAAUAAGGAGUUUCAUCUAUUUAUAUAAUUUAAGAGCUAAUAUAAUAUGUAACUGUUCAAAUGGUACCAUCUAUUGUUGGUUAAGAUCAGGGUGAAGUUUAUUGCUAGUAGGUAGAAUAGCAAAUUCAAACUUCUGGGCUCAAGUGUAAAGCGGCAUUAAGCUGCAGGGGGCGAGCAUGAAGCCUGAAGGAACAAGGGUCGUGGUGCACUGUGAUGACAAGGGCAGGGACCAGUGGCAUCGGAAAGGAGGAUGGCCUGGUUUAGAUGUGCCAGACUGCCAUCACAGAAUACCUGCUUACUUCUUCCUGCCUUUUCCAGGAUCUUGAGGCUGAAACAGACUGACUAUUGCAUUGGAACUCUCUCAGGGAAGGGUCCAAGCUGCUUCUCCUUGAAGACAACAACAUACCAGCCCCAACCUCACAGAUGGUGUUAGUCAUCCUGAUAAUGCACCUCAGUUAAUAUCUCAAGUCGGGAUCCAGCUACGCUUACUUGCUUUGUGCACCAGGGCAUAUAUGGAGAAGGCAAUG